UACGUAGGCAGCGAGCGUUGUUCGGAAUUACUGGGCGUAAAGAGUGUGUAGGCGGUGCUCUAAGUCUGUCGUGAAAUCUCCCGGCUUAACUGGGAGGGUGCGGCGGAAACUGGUGUGCUCGAGGGUGGGAGAGGUAAGCGGAAUUCCUGGUGUAGCGGUGAAAUGCGUAGAUAUCAGGAGGAACACCUGCGGUGUAGACAGCUUACUGGACCACUUCUGACGCUGAGACACGAAAGCGUGGGCAGCAAACAGG
rnacentral:rRNA from 1 species